ensembl:lncRNA
AUGGGUCUACACAGACCCAGAUCCCACCCGUGGGUCUACAGCGAAGCGGGCCCCUGUGGGGUGGUCCCUGCGGGUCGCGUCCCUGCGGGUCGGGUGCCUGGGGGACGGUCCCUGUGGGGUGGUCCCUGCGGGUCGCGUCCCUGUGGGGUGGUCCCUGCGGGGCGGGCGCCUGCGGGGCGGGUGCCUACGGGAUGGCCCCGGGGGGGUCGCGUCCCUGCGGGGCGGGUGCCUGCGGCGUGGUCCCCCCGGGCUGGGUCCACCGAGCAGGCCGCUGGAAGCCGAGCCCGCGCCCGCCCGCGGCGCCAAGAUGGAGGCAGGAAGCGCCGCCGCCCGCGCCCGCCACCGCCCGCGCCGCCCGCCUGACGCCGCCGUCGCGCCUGACGCCGCCGCCCGCGCGGCCGCCCCUCCCCCGGCCCUCCCCUCCCCCCGCCGUAACGUCCUGACGCUCCGCAGGGACCCCUGACUGGACGGCGGCGCGUGAGCGGAGCGAGAGGCCUCGCCGCGGGGGGGCCGCGGGCGCGCCGGCGCCGCUUACCUGGGGCCGCGCCGGGCCUACUCGGGCGCCCGGCGGGGGCGGCGGCGUCGGGAGCUGCGGCGGCGGCGGGCGGCGGCGGCGGCCGUGGGCUUCGCUCCUUGUUGGGGAUUCGGCGGCGGCGGCGGCGGCGGCGGCGGCGCGGGCGCGCGCUUCCUAGUGACGCAGGCAGCGGGGCCGCGCACGCACGGGGCUGGGAGGGCCGGACACUUAUUUGGCGCUUGCCGGGGAGGAAGGCGGGGCCGUGAAAUAAGGCACAACGGGGCCCGCGGCGCGUGCGCGGACCGACGCUGUCAGCUCCUAACGCCGUCGCUUCCUCUUGGUCCCCGCGGCCCCGGUUGGGUGUCGCCUGCCCCGCGCGGGCGGUCGGGCCGAGGGACGAUGGUCGGUGGACGGACGGGGCCAGGGAGCAGUGCGCACGAGCGGCAGGGCGGUACCUUCAGGCCUCCAGGUACGGGCACCCCUUGCCCGGACGCUGCUGUGGGUGAAGGGGCGCGGACGGGACUCCCCUGCGGGGCGGACGCCUGAACACGAGGCUGUGGCGGAAGACGCUGUAGGGUGCGCGGACUCCCGCGGAACAUGCCGGGGGCUCGGCCAGCCACGGCGCUCCCAGCGUGAAGGGCGAGGGGCAUCCGGGAGCGGCGGGGAGGGAGGGCUCGGUCACCCCUUAAGCUGCCACCCCAGUCCCACAACCAGCACCCCGAUCCCAUCGCAGUCCCACAGCCGGCACCCCGAUCCCACCCCAGCCCAACAGCUGGCAUCCCUAUGCCAUAGCUAACACCCUGUCCCACCGCUGUCCCACGGCCGGCACCCCGAUCCCAUAGCUGACACCCCGGUCCCGCCCCAGUCCCGCAGCCGACACCCCGAUCCCAGCCGGAUCCCGCAGCCAGCGCGGAUCCUGUGGCGCUCGUCUAGCCCCCAGGGCUCGUUUAUACGUUUUAUUGGCAGAGGCUGGAGCUGGCUCUAUUGGCCUCUGUGCUGGAUUUCUUCCCCUGCACCGCAGAGCUGGCUGUCCUGACCUCUCCAGGGUCAUCCAGCACCCUUGUGCUUGCUGUCACCCGCUGCCUGUCUGCAGGAUCCUGGAUUCCCUAUCGGGGACCGAAAUUAGUCAGAAAAUAGGAAGCAGAUGCUUGUUUGGGAUGGAGCCCUGACCCUGUGCUCACACUUUAGGAGGAGGGCUCUGCAGGCCGCCUCCCGGAAUGGGAGGUUCCCAAGCCACUGCACUUCGGAGGGGCUGUAAUUAGAGUUGCACUUUCAUUCUGUUCCCAGUAAAGUGGACCGUGCUCAAGCCAGUGAGGAAAAGGUAUUCUUAACAAUUAGAUUGGCCGAGCGCAGUGGCUCAUGCCUUUUAUCUCAACACUUUGGGAGGCCAAGGCGGGAGGAUCACCUGUGGCCAGGAGUUCAAGACCAGCCUGGGCAACAGAGUGAGCCUGUCUCUGGGGAAGAAUAAAAAAAUUAUUGAGCCUUUGUCAGUGCUACUAUUUUAUUAUCUGAUAAAUAUGAGAGGGUUCACGUGGUCUGUGUGUGCCAUUUAUCUGAGUUUGCCUAUCCUCACAUUUUGGGAAUAAACGUCAAUAAAGUCUAAGAGGAGUGCUGAGGGGGGCCUGGGGAUGGGAGGGUGGCCACCUCAUGCCUGUGUGUUGCGUGGGUUGAGCCCUGGGGCCUGUUCUGCCUCCUUCACUCUGGGACUCCAGGAGAGAACCUGGGCAACAAGAGAGAAACUCCACCUAAAACAAACAAACAAACAAACAACAACAACAAAAAAAACACCUCCAAGAUCACUUAGCUUUCUACUGCUGCCAUAACAAAUUAUCUCAAACUUAGUCACUUAAAAAUGCAAAUUUAGGCUGAGUGCGGAGGGUCACGCCUGUACUCCUAGCACUUUGGGGAGGCCAAGGCAGGAGGAUUGCUUGAGGCCAGGAGUUCAAGACCAACAUGGCCACAACCUAUCUCUAUUUUUUAAAAAUGCAAGUGUGUCCGAGCGUGGUGACUCACGCCUAUAAUCCCAGCACUUUGGGAGGCCAAGGCAGGUAGAUCACAAGGUCAGGAGAUUGAGACCAUCCUGGCUAACACGGUGAAACCCCGUCUCUACUGAAAGUACAAAAACAAAAUUACGCAGGCGUGGUGGCGGGCACCUGUAGUCCCAGCUACUUGGGAGGCUGAGGCGGGAGAAUGGCAUGAACCCAGGAAGCGGAGCUUGCAGGGAGCCGACAUGGCGCCCCUGCACUCCAACCUGGGUGACAGAGCGAGACUCCGUCUCAAAAAAAAUAAAUAUAGAAAAAUACAAAUGUAUUCUCUAACUGUUCUGUAGGUCGGAAGUCCUGCCCAGCCUCACUUGGUCAAAAUCAGGGUGUCUGCAGGGCCAAUGGUUUUUGGAGCUCCAGGGGAGAAGCUGUUCCUGCCUUUCCAGUUUCUGGAAGCACUUGAGCCCCUUGUCUCAUGGCCUAUCCCACACCUGAAAGCCAGCCAAAGUCAGUUGAGUCCUCACCCUGCUCAUCCCGACACUGACUCUUCGGCCUCCCUCAUCUGCUGUCAAGGCUCCUUGUGAUGGCAUGGGGCCACCAGCUGGCCCAGGGCGCCUCCUGUCUCCGAGUCAGCCGACCAGCGACCUUCAUUCCAUCUGCUGCUGUAAUUCCUCUUUGCUUGGAACCAACGUUCACAGAUCCUAGGGGUUAGGAUGUGAAUAUCUUGGGCGGGGCUGUGAGGAGGGGGGCUAUUCUUCGUUCUAAAAUAUUUAUUAUUUUUGUUUUGGGGGCUUUUUUGGUUUUGUUUUUUUUGAGAGAGUCUCGCUCUGUUGCCCAGGUUGGAGUGCAAUGGUGCAGUCUCGGUUCACUGCAACCUCUACCUCCUGGCAGACGUGAGCCACUGCACCCAGCCUGUUUUUGUUUUUGUUGUUGUUUUGUUUUGUUUUCGAGAUGAAGUCUCACUUUGUCACCCAGGCUGGAGUGCAGUGGCAGAUCUCAGCUCACUGCAACCUCUGCCUCAAGCUGUUCUCCUGCCUCAAGCGAUUCUCCUGCCUCAGCCUCCCAACUAGCUGAGAUUACAGGUGCACGCACCACCAUGCCCAGCUAAUUUUUGUAUUUUUAGUAGAGACGGGGUUUUACCAUGUUGGUCAGACUGGUCUCAAACUCCUGAUCUCAGGUAAUCCACCCACCUUGGCCUCCCAAAGUGCUGGGAUUACAGACAUGAGCCAUCGUAUCCAGCCAUAUUUAUUAACUACAAAGGGAAAGAUGAUAAUUUUUUUUUUUUUGAGAUGGAGUCUCACUCUGUCACCCAGGCUGGAGUGCAAUGGCAUCAUCUUGUCUCACUGCAACCUCCGCCUCCCGGAUUCAAGUGAUUCUCCUGCCUCAGCCUCUCAACUAGUGGGGUUACAGGCACACGCUACCACACCCAGCUAAUUUUUGUAUUUUUAGUAGAAAUGGGGUUUCACCAUGUUGGUCAGGCUGGUCUCCAACCCCUGACCUCAUGAUCUGCCCGCCUCGGCCUCCCAAAGUGCUGGGAUUAUAGGCAUGAGCCACUGCACCUGGCUGAAAGAUGAUAAUUUUAAAGUAGAGAAACUGGGUUGGCUGGGCAUGGUGGCUCAUGCCCAGCACUUUGGAGCAUGUACUUUGGAGCCCAGCACUUUGGAAGGCCAAGGCAAGAGGAUUGCUUGAGUCUAGGAGUUUGAGACCAGCCUGACCAGCAAGACCUCAUCUCCACAAAAACUAAAAAGUUAGCCAGGUGUGGUGGUGCACGCCUGUAGUCCCAGCUACUCAGGAGGCUUAGGUGGGAGGAUCACUCGAGCCCAGGAGGUCAAGGCUGCAGUGAGCCGUUAUUGUACCACUGCACUCAGCCUGGGCAACAGAGCAAGAGUCUGUCUCCAAAGGAAAAAAAAGGUCCAGGCGCGGUGGCUCACACCUGUAAUCCCAGCACUUUGGGAGGCCAAGGUGGGCGGAUCACCAGGUCAGGAGAUGGAGACCAUCCUGGCUAACACGGUGAAACCCCGUCUCUACUAAAAAUACAAAAAAAUGUGGUGGCAGCGCCUGUAAUCCCAGCUACUCAGGAGGCUGAGGCAGGAGAAUGGCGUGAACCUGGGAGGAGGAGCUUGCAGUGAGCCAAGAUUGCGCCACUGCACUCCAGCCUGGGCGACAGAGCGAGACUCCGUCUCAAAAAACAACAACAACAACAAAAACAAUAGUCUCCCAGGUAAGUCAGAGUCACAAGGUGUUUUGGUUCCCCGUGGAAACUAAAAGAUAACAGCUUAGGCCGGGCACGGUGGCUCAAGCCUGUAAUCCCAGCACUUUGGGAGGCCGAGACGGGCGGAUCACGAGGUCAGGAGAUCGAGACCAUCCUGGCUAACA